rnacentral:rRNA from 1 species
AGUGAACGCUGGCGGUAGGCCUAACACAUGCAAGUCGAACGGCAGCACAGAGGAGCUUGCUCCUUGGGUGGCGAGUGGCGGACGGGUGAGGAAUACAUCGGAAUCUACUCUGUCGUGGGGGAUAACGUAGGGAAACUUACGCUAAUACCGCAUACGACCUACGGGUGAAAGCAGGGGAUCUUCGGACCUUGCGCGAUUGAAUGAGCCGAUGUCGGAUUAGCUAGUUGGCGGGGUAAAGGCCCACCAAGGCGACGAUCCGUAGCUGGUCUGAGGGGAUGUGCAGCCACACUGGAACUGAGACACGGUCCAGACUCCUACGGGAGGCAGCAGUGGGGAAUAUUGGACAAUGGGGGCAAGCCUGAUCCAGCCAUACCGCGUGGGUGAGGAAGGCCUUCGGGUUGUAAAGCCCUUUUGUUGGGAAAGAAAUCCAUAUGGUUAAUACCCGGGUGGGAUGACGGUACCCAAAGAAUAAGCACCGGCUAACUUCGUGCCAGCCGCCGCCGUAA